CCGACCUGCACGAAUGGCGUAACGAUGGCGGCGCUGUCUCCACCCGAGACUCAGUGAAAUUGAAAUCGCUGUGAAGAUGCAGUGUAUCCGCGGCAAGACGGAAAGACCCCGUGAACCUUUACUAUAGCUUUGCACUGGACUUUGAAGUUGUUUGUGUAGGAUAGGUGGGAGGCUUUGAAGCAGCGACGCUAGUUGCUGUGGAGCCAACCUUGAAAUACCACCCUGGCAACUUUGAGGUUCUAACUCUGGUCCGUUAUCCGGAUCGAGGACAGUGUAUGGUGGGUAGUUUGACUGGGGCGGUCUCCUCCUAAAGAGUAACGGAGGAGUACGAAGGUGCGCUCAGACCGGUCGGAAAUCGGUCGUAGAGUAUAAAGGCAAAAGCGCGCUUAACUGCGAGACCAACAAGUCGAGCAGGUACGAAAGUAGGUCUUAGUGAUCCGGUGGUUCUGUAUGGAAGGGCCAUCGCUCAACGGAUAAAAGGUACUCCGGGGAUAACAGGCUGAUACCGCCCAAGAGUUCAUAUCGACGGCGGUGUUUGGCACCUCGAUGUCGGCUCAUCACAUCCUGGGGCUGAAGCCGGUCCCAAG
rnacentral:rRNA from 1 species